AUGCUUGUCUCAAAGAUUAAGCCAUGCAUGUCUAAGUAUAAACAACUCUAUACUGUGAAACUGCGAAUGGCUCAUUAAAUCAGUUAUAGUUUAUUUGAUAAUACCUACUACUUGGAUAACCGUAGUAAUUCUAGAGCUAAUACAUGCGAAAAACCUCGACUUCUGGAAGAGGUGUAUUUAUUAGAUACAGAACCAAUGCGGGGCAACCCGGUACCUUGGUGAUUCAUAAUAACUUCGCGAAUCGAAUGGCUUUACGCCGUCGAUGAUUCAUUCAAAUUUCUGCCCUAUCAACUUUCGAUGGUAAGGUAUUGGCUUACCAUGGUGACAACGGGUAACGGGGAAUA
rnacentral:rRNA from 1 species